ensembl:snoRNA
GGUGGACGGUGUGCACAGUGUAAGUCUGUGUUAUGUGCUGUUGCCUGACUGUGUUUUGCAGGCUGGGCAGCAGUGCUCACUCCACACCUGCAGCCAUAGAGCAACUGGAGAUCAUAGUACUGGUCCUUGACAUCUUACCAUUGGCCAGCCUCCAAACUCUCCUACAUGC